GAAUUUAAUAUAAUUUUUUUAUAAAUUAGUAUAAUUAUUAUAUUUAAUUGGGGGGAUUAUUAAAUUUAAAAAACUUUAAUAUAAAAAAAACUUUGAUUAAAGAAAAUAUUUUUUUAAUAAUGAGUAAUUUUAAUUAUUUAAGAAUUAAUUACCUUAGGGAUAACAGCAUAAUAAUUUUUUUUAGAUCUUAUAUAAAAAAUUGUUUAU
rnacentral:rRNA from 1 species